AGGAAUUCUGCUGCAACUUCUGCUUUCGGUCGCCCAACGUCUUUUGGUCGAAACAGAAACUGUCGGUUAAGGUUAGACACAUCUAUAGUAUCCAUGUCAAUAACAUGGAUCUGCCUAAAACCGGACAGUGCCAGGUUUUUCAGGAGUUCGCAUCCUAAUCCUCCUGCUCCAAUAACCAGUACUUUACAUGUGCUUAACAGAAAGUCAAGAGCUUGAGUGCCUGGCUCGAAAUCAGGAUGUGUGAACGGUCCAGAUCGCUCGAGGAACUUCUUUACAUGGUUCCAGCGACCUUCCCAGUCUCCAGAGUCCCCAUACCCACCAUCAACAGCCAUUCCAUCCGCCAGCAGCUCCUCUAGCCUCCUUCUUUUCUUCUCCGGUUCCUCACCAUCCGCCAUAUUUUUU
rnacentral:lncRNA from 1 species